rnacentral:tRNA from 15 species
GCGGGUAUAGUAUAUCGGUCAUUAUGUCAGUUUUCCAAACUGAAGAGGCGGGUUCGAUUCCCGCUACCCGCU